CCUACGGGUAGCAGCAGUGGGGGAUAUUGCACAAUGGGGGAAACCCUGAUGCAGCGACGCCGCGUGUGGGAAAGUGCUCUUCUGGCUUGUAAACCACUGUCCCCAGGGACAAAAAUGACGGUACCUGGGCAGGCAGCUCCGGCUAACUACGUGCCAGCAGCCGCGGUAAUACGUAGGGCGCAAGCGUUGUCGGGAAUUCCUGUGUGUACAGGGAGCGUUGGCGGGGAUGAAAGUUGGGUUUAAAAACUAUCGGCGCAACCGAUAGUCGCACUCAAAACUGCAGCUCUUGAGUGAAGUAGAGGCAGGCGGAAUUCGUAGUGUAGCGGUGAAAUGCGUAGAUAUUAGGAGGAACACCGGUGGCGAAGGCGGCCUGCUGAUCUGUUACUGACGCUGAGGCUCGAAAGUGUGGGUAGCAAACAGGAUUAGAUACCCUAGUAGUC
rnacentral:rRNA from 1 species